ACGGGUGAGUAACACGUGGGUAACCUACCUAUAAGACUGGGACAACUUCGGGAAACCGGAGCUAAUACCGGAUAAGAUAUCGAACCGCAUGGUUCGAUAGUGAAAGAUGGUUUUGCUAUCACUUAUAGAUGGACCCGCGCCGUAUUAGCUAGUUGGUGAGGUAACGGCUCACCAAGGCAACGAUACGUAGCCGACCUGAGAGGGUGAUCGGCCACACUGGAACUGGGACACGGUCCAGACUCCUACCGGGAGGGCAGCAGGU
rnacentral:rRNA from 1 species